rnacentral:rRNA from 1 species
GAUGAACGCUGGCGGCGUGCCUAAUACAUGCAAGUCGAGCGAACAGAUGAGGAGCUUGCUCCUCUGACGUUAACGGCGGACGGGUGAGUAACACGUGGAUAACCUACCUAUAAGACUGGGAUAACUUCGGGAAACCGGAGCUAAUACCGGAUAAUAUAUUGAACCGCAUGGUUCAAUAGUGAAAGACGGUUUUGCUGUCACUUAUAGAUGGAUCCGCGCCGCAUUAGCUAGUUGGUAAGGUAACGGCUUACCAAGGCAACGAUGCGUAGCCGACCUGAGAGGGUGAGCGGCCACACGGGAACUGAGACACGGUCCAGACUCCUACGGGAGGCAGCAGUAGGGAAUCUUCCGCAAGGGGCGAAAGCCUGACGGAGCAACGCCGCGUGAGUGAUGAAGGUCUUCGGAUCGUAAAACUCUGUUAUUAGGGAAGAACAAAUGUGUAAGUAACUAUGCACGUCUUGACGGUACCUAAUCAGAAAGCCACGGCUAACUACGUG